UGCAAGUCGCACGAGAAAGGGAGCAAUCCUGAGUAAAGUGGCGUACGGGUGAGUAACACGUGGAUCAUCUACCUUUUAGUGGGGAAUACCUCCGGGAAACUGGAGACAAUACCGCAUAAGCUCGUGAGAGGAAAGCCGAAAGGCGCUGAAAGAGGAGUCCGCGGCUGAUUAGCUAGUUGGCGGGGUAACGGCCCACCAAGGCGAAGAUCGGUAGCCGGCCUGAGAGGGCACACGGCCACACUGGCACUGAAACACGGGCCAGACUCCUACGGGAGGCAGCAGUGGGGAAUCUUGCACAAUGGAGGAAACUCUGAUGCAGCGACGCCGCGUGAGCGAUGAAGCCCUUCGGGGUGUAAAGCUCCUUCGACGGGAACGAUAAUGACGGUACCCGAAGAAGAAGCUGCGGCUAACUACGUGCCAGCAGCCGCGGUAAUACGUAGGCAGCAAGCGUUGUUCGGAAUUACUGGGCGUAAAGAGUGUGUAGGCGGUGUUCUAAGUCUGUUGUGAAAUCUCCCGGCUCAACUGGGAGGGUGCGGCGGAGACUGGAAUGCUAGAGUAUGGGAGAGGUAAGCGGAAUUCCUGGUGUAGCGGUGAAAUGCGUAGAUAUCAGGAGGAACACCUGUGGUGUAGACAGCUUACUGGACCAUGACUGACGCUGAGACACGAAAGCGUGGGUAGCAAACAGGAUUAGAUACCCUGGUAGUCCACGCCCUAAACGAUGCAUACUUGGUGUGAGCCAUUCAUUUGGUUCGUGCCGGAGCUAACGCGUUAAGUAUGCCGCCUGGGGAGUAC
rnacentral:rRNA from 1 species